AUUGAACGCUGGCGGCAUGCCUUACACAUGCAAGUCGAACGGCAGCGGACCUUCGGGUGCCGGCGAGUGGCGAACGGGUGAGUAAUAUAUCGGAACGUACCUUUCAGUGGGGGAUAACGUAGCGAAAGUUACGCUAAUACCGCAUAUUCUGUGAGCAGGAAAGCAGGGGAUCGCAGGACCUUGCGCUGAUUGAGCGGCCGAUAUCAGAUUAGCUAGUUGGUGAGGUAAAGGACUCACCAAGGCGACGAUCUGUAGCGGGUCUGAGAGGAUGAUCCGCCACACUGGAACUGAGACACGGUCCAGACUCCUACGGGAGGCAGCAGUCGAGAGGCUUCGGCAAUGGGGGAAACCCUGACCGAGCGACGCCGCGUGGGCGAUGAAGGUUGUAAGAUCGUAAAGCCCUGUCAGGAGGGAAGAACUGCCAAUGGGCAAACAGGCCAUUGGUUUGACGGUACCUCCAGAGGAAGCUCCGGCUAACUCCGUGCCAG
rnacentral:rRNA from 1 species